GUGCUUGCUGCGGCAGCACAUAGACUGAAGUUUGAAUGACACAGAGAAGGUGGGCUUGGUCCCUGCACAGGGAUGACAUGUGGCUGUGUCAUCCCAGCAGCAUUUGU
ensembl:snRNA U6 U6 spliceosomal RNA